UAUAAAUGUAAAUUAUUAUACUAAAGGAUUGUUAGUUAUGUUCUUUAAAUUUAAAAAUUUUGGCGGUAUUUUAGUCUAUUCAGAGGAACCUGUUCUAUAAUUGAUAGUCCACGAUUUAUUUUACUUUAUUUAAUUAAUUUGUAUAUCGUCGUUUUUAAUAAUUUUAUAAGAAUUAAAAUUUUUAAGAUUUUUUAUUUUAAAAUAUAUCAGAUCAAGGUGCAGUUUAUAGUAAAGUAGAAAUGGGUUACAAUAAAUUUAUUUAUGGAUGGAUUUAUUUUAUAAAAAUGAAUAAUGAAGGAGGAUUUGAUAGUAAUAAAUUUUUUAUUUUUAUUUUAUGAUUUUAGCUCUAAAAUAUGU
rnacentral:rRNA from 1 species